rnacentral:lncRNA from 1 species
GUUGUUGUGACACAUCCUAUACAGCUUAUAACAACAUGGAUAUUUCCUGUGCUUGAAAGCGGAUGAUAUAAUUUCUGGUCAUGACAGAUUCACCUGACAAAUUUUUCACUGCAUUGUCGCCGGAUGGACCUCUUCCAUGAAGCCCUAAAAGAAAACAAAUGCAAAUAACUACCCAGAAUUUAAAAUCAGCCAAACAUUUAAAAACAAAGAAGAAGAAGAAGUCUCUCUCUCUCUCUCAAAAACCAAAGACUUAAAAUUGAAAUGAAAAUUCAUGACUUACAGCCAGCGCCGACAAAAUAAGGCAGACAAAGGAGCUUGGGGCUGGGGGGGGGGGCCGCUAAUUCUUCUCCACUCAUUUCUCUUCUCUUCUCUUCUUAAGAUUUUUCUGUGCAAGAAGUUGAGAACUGAGAAAGAUCACGACCUAUUUUUGGUCAGAAACUGAAAUGGGUCGAAUCAUAUCGAACUCAUCCAGAACCCAAUACUUAAUCUUACAAAGGUUGGGCCAGAACCGACCCAGUUUUGGCCAAUUAGCAGAAAAAGUUUAUCUUUUGAAAUUCGAAUUAGAAUGCAGAGAAUUGGAGAGCUGAAAUGGCGAAGAAAGGAAGCUGAAAGUUGAACGUUGCUAUUAUUUUCUGGGCAUAGGUAAUUUCUACAUCUUGUUGAAAGUUGUAAAGAAGUUGUUUUGUGUUUAUGAAUUUGAUGUGUAAGUGGAGCUGAAAGACUAAUUGUUGAUGUGGCUGUUGACAAAAAUGGAGACCGU